rnacentral:snoRNA from 2 species
UGACAAAAGAAAAAGAGAAAUAAAAACACUCAUUUUUUUCAAAUAAAAAAGAGAAAAUACUUUCCAUUGGCAUGAUUUUUGAGUCA